CACGGGGCCGCCUCCCUUUCUCCUCCUCCUCUUUCCCCCGCCCUUACCCGGGCUACUGCAGUGGCGGGGGCGCAGAAGGGGCCUUCCUUGCUGUCUGGCUUUUCCUGGAUUCCCUUGAUUAAACUAAACCUUCGAAUGAAUGUAAAAAACAAGCAAGCCGCAUGCGUGGGCCCUGCAGUCCCCUCCCCCAGAUUCUGACCCAAGGGCUUGGAGCAGGCUCAUUUUUAUUACCAGCCCAAGCGAUUCGGUUGCAGGUGAUUCUGGACCACACUUUGAAAAACACUGAGGCAGAAGUAAGCCAGCAAGUGCAUGGGAUACAUCCGAUGUGAGAGGUAAUUCUCCUGGUUUCUUACAGUUAUGGGCUGAAUGGUGACCCCCUCUCUCCCAAACUCCUAUGUGGCGGUCCUAACCCCCAGCACCUCAGAAUGUGGCUGCAUUUGGAGAUAGGGACUUUAAAGAGAUAAGUGAAAAUAAGGUCAUCAGGAUGGGCCCUAAUCCAAUAUGGCUGGUGUCCUUAUAAGAAGAGGAGUUGACGACACAGAAGCACAGAGGAAAGGCCAUGUGAGGACACAGGGAGAAGGUGCCCAUCUGCAACCGAGGAGAGAGGCCUCGGAAAAACUGCAGACACCUUGCUCUCGGACUUGCAGCCUCCAGAACCGUCUGCUGAGUUAAACCCACAGUGUGUGUUUGGGCUACAAAUUCUGCAGAGGAAAGCGGAAAUCGAUGUUGGAGGCUGUUUCCUAGCAAGGCACAGUUGGCCUCAGUGUAGGGAAGAGCGUCCUGUGCGGCUGUUAGUGCUGUUCUCCAGGCUGCCCUUGACUCCCGAUCAGCCCCUCAGCCUUCGGCCAGCAGGCUGCUCCCAGCUGCUCUCCUGGAAGCACUUCCUCACCAGCCAGGUGGCCUCUCAUCUCCCUGCAGCCCCAUCCUGUCUGCCCCAGAGCCCGGGUGGCUUCAGCACUUCCCUAACGCCACUCAUCUCUGCUCCUCCCUCCUGGUUAUCUUCCUGCCAGUUUUGGAAGUGGGCCUUUCCUAUUGCAGAGACGGCCCAGUGGAAUGCUUUGGGACACAACAAGGGUUGCAGGGUGGGAGAGAUCACUGCAGGGUCUCAUGGCCUGUGAUUCUGUUCAGUGCCAACACGGGAGACUGAAUGAAGCAAGAGCAAGCGCUGAUAGAUGCUGCCGCUCCGGAGUGGAGACCACAUCUGGUUCAUCUCUUGAGUCCUCAGUGCCCAGCCAGAGCUUGGCACAUAGCCGG
rnacentral:lncRNA from 1 species